UAUCCCCCCUGCUAGAGUAUCUGGUUCUUUAUACAUAUUUGUCAAAUCAUCAAAACAAUAAAAACACAGUGACCUUAUCACGUACGACCACAUUGCUAUCUGGAACAACCAUGAAUAGGUGACAGAUUCAUCAUUUACAUUUAUGAAUAUUUUGGUCAUGUAACGUCAAUUGUUAUGGUGUACUAUUUUACUUUCUUUUUCAAAGGUGAUGGCUUUCAGUCUUUUAUUCCCCCUACCUCACCAAUAAAAUAAAAAAAUAAAAAAACACAAUUCUAAUUAGAUAUAGUCCCACUUUCUGUCUGAAUAAAGUUGGUUAGAGAGUGGAAGAAAGAAGAAGAACAAAAAUCAAAGUCAAAACAAAAAGAAAAAAGAAUUUCAAAGGUUACGUUUCUUAAUUUGCCAGUUUUUAACCUCCCUAUCUUAAUUAUAUCUCUUCCGUAAAACUCCUUUUCAUAAUGUCUUUCUCCUUUUCCUCUCUUCCUCCCACUCACGAGAAAAGCCAUCAAACAUGGAUACAUCAACCACUCUAGUGAUUGUAACAAGUUUGGUGAAGAGAUCGGGGCGGGCAACGGAAGCGAUGGCACCAAUCAUGGCACAUAGUCUCCAACUUAAAUGCAACGAGGAAUUUGGAGUUCUUCCAAAAGAGCGAUCACAUCACAGACAUAUGUGAAUAUCUUUCGAAGUCAAAGUAGUGGGGAUUGGUAGUUCAAUCACCCAUAUUGUCAAAUAAGACAACCUUAUAAUCGUCAACUAUAUGAGGAACCAGAUGUUUUCACUGAUUGGUCUGUUCCAAACCCAUGAACUAGGACUAUGGUUCGAUAGAUCCCCUAUUCCUAAAAUCUUUGCGUUGUGCUUCUUCAACUAUCCCCAUCUCACGUUUCCUUUCUUUAAUUUGUGGAAAUCAAGGAUGUGUGAUUUUGGUCUCUGAUGGUGAAAAAAGGGUGUAAGGGAAAGAUAAAAUGUGGACUUCUUAAUACGUUUGCUUUGUUUGAGUAUCAGUCUUGAGAAUGAAAGCAAAGGAUGGAUGAUUAUAACCUCAUUUUUUUGGUGUUC